CUCUGCUCUCUCUUGUUUCUCUCUCCUCUGUGCGCCAUUAACAAUGGAGAUCGACUAAUUAAGAAUUGAUUAACGAUCGGGACGAAGACGAAGAUCAAGAUGUCAGAUGGCCCCUGUAAUCUGCGAGGAAAGCCAAGAACAUCUCAUAGCGUGGUCGAGUAGGAGUUCGAUGAAUACUUGAUCUAUUGACGGAUUAGCACAUGCUUUUCACUAUGAUUGAUCAUAAAGUAUCACAUAUUAGUUCUUAUACGUAAAACUAGGGUAAUAUGUAUUAUAACAAGUAUGUCUGUUCGAGAGUGGCAUGUUAUACACUAGCGAUGUUAUUUUACCAUUAUUUUACAUA